AUGCCCGUGCUGCCGCCGCUCGCCGCGCCGCUGCUCUGGCCACAUCCGCGUCUUCCUCCGCCACCGCCCACCGCCUUCUCCUCCUGGAACUGCCAAACGAAGAGUAGGCUCUUGCAACCGGGGCUCUUCGCCACCGGCGCCGACGUCCCCGGCCGCGGAGGCCCGCUCCCGGAACCAGAGCAGCGCGCCCCGCUCCUCCUCGCCGCUCUCCGCGCCACUCGCCUCAGGGACGAAGAAUCACGCCGCCCAGAUCCCCUUUUUAUUGAUCCAUAUGCUGCUGUGCUACUUUCACUUGAUGUGGCAGAUCAAACUUCGGAAUCUCUCGUCUCUCAUUUAAUGCCAUCUGCAGAGCAUUAUAGGCUAACUACUAGAUAUCUUGAUGACACAUUGCAACAUUUGAUAAGCAGGUCAGACAAUUUUAGACAGAUUGUUUUGUUGACAGAUGGAAUGGACACUCGCCCAUAUAGGCUUAGCUGGCCAAAGAUGUCUAUCAUGUAUGAUGUAUCACCUGGAAGAAUCUUCAGUACAGCAGCCCAGCAACUCCGAGGAGCAGGAGCAAAAAUACCGCGGAACUGUGUUCUCUUUCAUACUCCUUUAGAGUCUCCUGAUUUACAAGAGGGCCUGUGCAAAAAUGGCUUCAAUGGAAAUAGGCCAAGCUUGUGGGCAUUGCAGGGUUUACCUUUGCCCUCUUCUUCAAGCUUCAAAAGCCUUUUGCUCGUUAUAAGCAAUUUAGCAAUGAAGGGGGGUAUCUUCAUAGGAGAGGUGCCACAUUUUCCAGACUGGACGGCAGCAGCAGACAUGGUCUCCGAACAAGACAGGCUAGAAAACCUUUUCUUUACCCAGGGUUUCCGGGUUAGCUUUGUUCUCUAUGAAAAUGUUGCAAAGGAUUUCGGCUUAGAUCUAGCUCCUCAAAGGGAACAAUGUGGUAGAGUUCUUUUUGUUGCAGAACAGCUGCGGUUUUCAGAUGCACAGAUGGAGAGCUUCUGGACGCAUUUUGAAAGAACAGAGGAGGACGCUGAUGAAGAAGGAUUCGAGGAACUUUAG
rnacentral:rRNA from 1 species